rnacentral:lncRNA from 1 species
UCUGUGGGAAGCUGGGAACCAAGCUGGUGAGCUCGGCUGCCAAGUAGGCCUUGCUGGCCCUGCUUUUCCCUGGGGCUGGGCAACCCCAGGCUCCUUCGUGACUCCUCAGAAUCUCGGACACCCCCUGAAUUCCACCCUGGUGGGCCAUUUGUGGUCUGUGCCCCAUCCAGAGCCUGAAAGAGGUGCACCAACCUCCUACAUGGAUUCCACAGAUCCUGAUUCAGACAGCGAGCACCCCGGACUAUAACGAUACCUGGGGGAAACAGACAGAGUCUGGGCACCACCGAAUUCCAGCUGGUGGACU